UACGGGGGGGGCAAGCGUUGUUCGGAAUUACUGGGCGUAAAGGGCUCGUAGGCGGCCAACUAAGUCAGACGUGAAAUCCCUCGGCUUAACCGGGGAACUGCGUCUGAUACUGGAUGGCUUGAGGUUGGGAGAGGGAUGCGGAAUUCCAGGUGUAGCGGUGAAAUGCGUAGAGAUGUGGAGGAACACCGAUGGCGAAGGCAGCCUCCUGGGCCAGCACUGACGCUCAUGCACGAAAGCGUGGGGAGCAAACAGG
rnacentral:rRNA from 1 species